GACGAACGCUGGCGGCGUGCUUAACACAUGCAAGUCGAACGGUGAAGCGCCUUCCUUUUUGGUGGGUGUGGAUGAGUGGCGAACGGGUGAGUAACACGUGAGUAACCUGCCCCCUUCUUCUGGAUAACCGCAUGAAAGUGUGGCUAAUACGGGAUAUUCUGGGUCUGUCGCAUGAUGGGUCUGGGAAAGAUAUUGUUUCGGUGGGGGAUGGGCUCGCGGCCUAUCAGCUUGUUGGUGGGGUGAUGGCCUACCAAGGCGGUGACGGGUAGCCGGCCUGAGAGGGUGGACGGUCACACUGGGACUGAGCCACGGCCCAGCCUCCUACGGGAGGCAGCAGUGGGGCAUAUUGCCCGAUGGGCGCAAGCCUGAUGCAGCGACGCCGCGUGAGGGAUGGAGGCCUUCGGGUUGUGAACCUCUUUCGCCAGUGAAGCAGGCCUGCCUCGUUUGUGGGUGGGUUGACGGUAGCUGGAUAAGAAGCGCCGGCUAACUACGU
rnacentral:rRNA from 1 species